rnacentral:rRNA from 1 species
CCAACAGGGAUUGCCUCAGUAACGGCGAGUGAAGCGGCAAGAGCUCAAAUUUGAAAUCUGGCCUCAAUCGAGGUCCGAGUUGUAAUUUGUAGAGGAUGUUUCGGGCGCGGUACCGGCCUAAGUUCCUUGGAACAGGGCGUCAUAGAGGGUGAGAACCCCGUAUGCGGCCGGCCUCCAAGCCUACACGAAGCUCCUUCGACGAGUCGCAUUGUUUGGGAAUGCAGUGCAAAAUGGAAGGUAAAUAUCUCCUAAAGCUAAAUACCUGCCAGAGACCGAUAGCGCACAAGUAGAGUGAUCGAAAGAUGAAAAGCACUUUGGAAAGAGAGUUAAAAAGUACGUGAAAUUGUUGAAAGGGAAGCGCUCGCGACCAGACCUGUCCGCAGACGCUCAGCGGCGGUUCUCCGCCGUGCACUCGUCUGCGAUCAGGCCAGCAUCGGUUCCGGCGACCGGAUAAAGGCCCCAGGAAUGUAGCUCCCCUCGGGGAGUGUUAUAGCCUGGGGCGCCAUACGGCCAGCUGGGACCGAGGACCGCCUUUUGAAGGAUGCUGGCGUAAUGGUCGUGAGCGGCCCGUCUUGAAACACGGACCAAGGAGUCUAACAUCUAUGCGAGUGUUUGGGUGUCAAACCCAUGCGCGCAAUGAAAGUGAACGGAGGUGGGAACCCACAAGGGCGCACCAUCGACCGAUCCUGAAGUUUACGGACGGAUUUGAGUAUGAGCAUAGCUGUUGGGACCCGAAAGAUGGUGAACUAUGCCUGAAUAGGGUGAAGCCAGAGGAAACUCUGGUGGAGGCUCGCAGCGGUUCUGACGUGCAAAUCGAUCGUCAAAUUUGGGUAUAGGGGCGAAAGACUAAUCGAACUAUCUAGUAGCUGGUUCCUGCCGAAGUUUCCCUCAGGAUAGCAGUAACGUAUUCAGUUUUAUGAGGUAAAGCGAAUGAUUAGAGGCCUAGGGGAUGAAACAUCCUUUACCUAUUCUCAAACUUUCAAUAUGUAAGAAGUCCUUGUUUCUUAACUGAACGUGGACAUUUGAAUGUACCGUUACUAGUGGGCCAUUUUUGGUAAGCAGAACUGGCGAUGCGGGAUGAACCGAACGUGGAGUUACGGUGCCGGAAUAUACGCUCAUCAGACACCACAAAAGGUGUUGAUUCAUCUAGACAGCCGGACGGUGGCCAUGGAAGUCGGAAUCCGCUAAGGAGUGUUACACACUCCUCACAGCUCAUCAAGUAACUAGAGUGCCCUCGGGCGCUCCAUCGUUCUAAAGUUUGCGGCCGCCCGGGUUCUUCCCAGGCGGUGCGAAGCCUCCUUGCCGGGAGGUCUACAGACUAUACCGAAUGGGUCCCCCGCGAGACGGGGGAUACUGACAUAGUCGAAUCCACCCUCUAACGAGGGGAGGGUGUUUUUGGUGUAACAACUCACCGGCCGAAUGAAUCAGCCCUGAAAAUGGAUGGCGCUCAAGCGUGUUACCUAUACUCCGCCGCCAGGGUAGAAGCGGAUGUCCCUGGCGAGUAGGCAGGCGUGGGGGUCAGUGACGAAGCCUUGGGAGUGAUCCCGGGUCGAACGGCCCCUAGUGCAGAUCUGNUGGGUAGUAA